rnacentral:rRNA from 1 species
CGAACCUACGGGGGGCAGCAGUGAGGAAUAUUGGUUAAUGGGAGAGAUCCUGAACCAGCCAAGCCGCGUGAGGGAAGACGGCCCUAUGGGUUGUAAACCUCUUUUGUCGGAGAACAAAACCCGGGACGCGUCCCGGACUGCGUGUAUCCGAAGAAAAAGCAUCGGCUAACUCCGUGCCAGCAGCCGCGGUAAUACGGAGGAUGCGAGCGUUAUCCGGAUUUAUUGGGUUUCAAGGGUGCGGAGGCGGUCCGUUAAGUCAGCGGUUAAAUUGCGGGGCUCAACCCCGUUGAGCC